rnacentral:rRNA from 1 species
ACGCUGGCGGCGUGCCUAAUACAUGCAAGUCGAGCAUACGGACGAGAAGCUUGCUUCUCUGAUGUUAGCGGCGGACGGGUGAGUAACACGUGGAUAACCUACCUAUAAGACUGGGAUAACUUCGGGAAACCGGAGCUAAUACCGGAUAAUAUUUUGAACCGCAUGGUUCAAAAGUAAAAGACGGUCUUGCUGUCACUUAUAGAUGGAUCCGCGCUGCAUUAGCUAGUUGGUAAGGUAACGGCUUACCAAGGCAACGAUGCAUAGCCGACCUGAGAGGGUGAUCGGCCACACUGGAACUGAGACACGGUCCAGACUCCUACGGGAGGCAGCAGUAGGGAAUCUUCCGCAAUGGGCGAAAGCCUGACGGACCAACGCCGCGUGAGUGAUGAAGGUCUUCGGAUCGUAAAACUCUGUUAUUAGGGAAGAACAUAUGUGUAAGUAACUGUGCACAUCUUGACGGUACCUAAUCAGAAAGCCACGGCUAACUACGUGCCAGCAGCCGCGGUAAUACGUAGGUGGCAAGCGUUAUCCGGAAUUAUUGGGCGUAAAGCGCGCGUAGGCGGUUUUUUAAGUCUGAUGUGAAAGCCCACGGCUCAACCGUGGAGGGUCAUUGGAAACUGGAAAACUUGAGUGCAGAAGAGGAAAGUGGAAUUCCAUGUGUAGCGGUGAAAUGCGCAGAGAUAUGGAGGAACACCAGUGGCGAAGGCGACUUUCUGGUCUGUAACUGACGCUGAUGUGCGAAAGCGUGGGGAUCAAACAGGAUUAGAUACCCUGGUAGUCCACGCCGUAAACGAUGAGUGCUAAGUGUUAGGGGGUUUCCGCCCCUUAGUGCUGCAGCUAACGCAUUAAGCACUCCGCCUGGGGAGUACGACCGCAAGGUUGAAACUCAAAGGAAUUGACGGGGACCCGCACAAGCGGUGGAGCAUGUGGUUUAAUUCGAAGCAACGCGAAGAACCUUACCAAAUCUUGACAUCCUUUGACAACUCUAGAGAUAGAGCCUUCCCCUUCGGGGGACAAAGUGACAGGUGGUGCAUGGUUGUCGUCAGCUCGUGUCGUGAGAUGUUGGGCUAAGUCCCGCAACGAGCGCAACCCUUAAGCUUAGUUGCCAUCAUUAAGUUGGGCACUCUAAGUUGACUGCCGGUGACAAACCGGAGGAAGGUGGGGAUGACGUCAAAUCAUCAUGCCCCUUAUGAUUUGGGCUACACACGUGCUACAAUGGACAAUACAAAGGGCAGCGAAACCGCGAGGUCAAGCAAAUCCCAUAAAGUUGUUCUCAGUUCGGAUUGUAGUCUGCAACUCGGCUACAUGAAGCUGGAAUCGCUAGUAAUCGUAGAUCAGCAUGCUACGGUGAAUACGUUCCCGGGUCUUGUACACACCGCCCGUCACACCACGAGAGUUUGUAACACCCGAAGCCGGUGGAGUAACCUUUUAGGAGCUAGCCGUCGAAGGUGGGACAAAUGAUUGGGGUGA